GACGAACGCUGGCGGCGUGCCUAAUACAUGCAAGUCGAACGCUGAAGGAGGAGCCUGCCCUCCUGGAUGAGUUGGGAACGGGUGAGUAACGCGCAGGUAUCCUGCCUGGUAGCGGGGGAUAACUAUUGGAAACGCUAGCUAAUAUCGCAUAAGAGUAGAUGUUGCAUGACAUUUACUUAAAAGGUGCAAUUGCACUAUUACUAGAUGGAGCUGCGUCGUAUUAGUUAGUUGGUGGUGUAACGGCUUACCAAGGGGACGAAACAUCGUCGGCCUGCGAGGGUGAUCUGGCAAACUGGGACUGAGACACUGCCCAAGCUCCUACGGGAGGGAACAGUAAGGAAACUUCGGGAAUGGGGCGAAAUCUUGCCGGGCAACGGCGCGUUGAUUGAGGAGGGUUUCGGGUCGUAAAACUCUGUUUUAAAGGGAGGACGAGUGUGGGAAUUAAAAGUUCACGCUUUGACGGUAUCUUACCAGAAAGGGACGGCUAACUACGUG
rnacentral:rRNA from 1 species